rnacentral:miRNA from 1 species
UAUUUAGAACGGUGCUGGUGUG